ACAACUGCAACUCCACUUAGAACUACUGCCUCUUCUACAGUAACAACACAAACAACUGAACCUACAACCGUGGUUACGACAAACUCACCUACAACUGCAACUCCACUUACAACUACUGCCUCUUCUACAGAAACGACACUAAUAACUGAACCUACAACUGUGGUUACAACAAACUCAACAACAUCCAUACCUACAACAAAUACAGCCCAAUCUACAACCCUGGUUACAACAAUUGCACCUACAACAGCAACUGUACUUACAUCUACAGCCCCUCUUACAACCCCAAAAACAACAGUUCAACCUACAACCACAACACGGGCUCCAAUAAUUACAAUUCUACAAACCACUCCAGAUACAACAGUUCAACCUACAAUAACCACAGCUACAACAACCCCAAGCACAACCCAGUCAGUUCUUUUUAGUUUUUCCAGCAAUGCAAAUUUUGUGGAUGAUCUGUCAAAUCCAGAUUCAGACGCAUUUAACACCAGAAAAAACAAAGUCUCAAAUGCGUUGGAACCAUUAUUUAGAAAUAAAUUCUCCUCCUUCAUUGGACUGGACGUUAUUAAGUUCCGUCGUGGGUCAAUCAUCAC